CCUACGGGUGGCAGCAGUGAGGAAUAUUGGUCAAUGGCCGUAAGGCUGAACCAGCCAAGUCGCGUGAAGGAAGAAGGCUCUAUGGGUUGUAAACUUCUUUUAUCGGGGAAUAAAGGUAUCCACGUGUGGCUAUUUGCAUGUACCCUAUGAAUAAGCAUCGGCUAACUCCGUGCCAGCAGCCGCGGUAAUACGGAGGAUGCGAGCGUUAUCCGGAUUUAUUGGGGUUAAAGGGUGCGUAGGUUGUUUCUUAAGUCAGCGGUGAAAGUUUGUGGCUCAACCAUAGAAUUGCCGUUGAAACUGGCGGACUUGAGUGGGAUUGAGGUAGGCGGAAUGCGUGGUGUAGCGGUGAAAUGCAUAGAUAUCACGCAGAACUCCGAUUGCGAAGGCAGCUUAC
rnacentral:rRNA from 1 species